rnacentral:rRNA from 1 species
AACGAACGCUGGCGGCAGGCUUAACACAUGCAAGUCGAGCGCCCCGCAAGGGGAGCGGCAGACGGGUGAGUAACACGUGGGAACGUACCUUUUGCUACGGAAUAGCUCCGGGAAACGGGAAUUAAUACCGUAUGUGCCCUUCGGGGGAAAGAUUUAUCGGCAAAAGAUCGGCCCGCGUCUGAUUAGCUAGUUGGUGGGGUAAUGGCCUACCAAGGCGACGAUCAGUAGCUGGUCUGAGAGGAUGAUCAGCCACACUGGGACUGAGACACGGCCCAGACUCCUACGGGAGGCAGCAGUGGGGAAUAUUGGACAAUGGGCGCAAGCCUGAUCCAGCCAUGCCGCGUGAGUGAUGAAGGCCUUAGGGUUGUAAAGCUCUUUCGCUAGGGAAGAUAAUGACGGUACCUAGAGAAGAAGCCCCGGCUAACUUCGUGCCAGCCGCCGCUGUAAGAC